GUCACCGAGAACAGCUGGUACCCAAGUUUCAGAUCAGAACAAGAGACUUUCACCCUGAAGAGGAGAGCUGGCAGCAUGGUGUGCCGGGGUGUGCUGUGGGCAUUUGUGGUCUCCACUUGCCUUGGAUCCAGCCUGGCCCAGAAGGUAAUUCAGCCUCAACAAGAAACGUCUGUGCAGGAGGGAGAGCCUGUGACCCUGCCCUGCACAUAUGAGACUAGUUCGACUGAGUAUUAUUUGUUCUGGUACAAACAACCUCCCAGUGGGGAGAUGGUUUUCAUUAUCCGCCAAGAAUCUUUUAAGCAACAGAAUGCAACAGAUAAUCGCUUCUCCGUGAACUUCCAGAAAACAACCAAAAACUUCAGCCUCAGGAUCUCAGACUGCCAGCUGGAGGAUGCUGCAGUGUACUUCUGUGCUCUCAGUGAGGCACAGUGAGAUGAGUGACAGGGAGAGGCUUACAGAAACCUCUGGCCUCAGUGCCUGUGUCAAGGGGUGCUUAAUAGGAACAUAGAAAUUAUUGUCUUUUCUUGGGAAUUAAAACUCCUUAUAUCUGAAUAUCAGAAACACAGAGAGAUGGGUGCCUGCAAGCUGGAGUCCUUAAAAUUACAAUAAAAAUAAUGGCAUA